UACGAAGGGGGCUAGCGUUGCUCGGAAUCACUGGGCGUAAAGGGCGCGUAGGCGGCGUUUUUAAGUCGGGGGUGAAAGCCUGUGGCUCAACCACAGAAUGGCCUCGAUACUGGGACGCUUGAGUAUGGUAGAGGUUGGUGGAACUGCGAGUGUAGAGGUGAAAUUCGUAGAUAUUCGCAAGAACACCAGUGGCGAAGGCGGCUCACUGGCCCAUAACUGACGCUGAGGCACGAAAGCGUGGGGAGCAAACAGGG
rnacentral:rRNA from 1 species